GCCUUCAGUUUAGAGAAAAGGAUAAAGCCAAGACACAUAGAAUCAAUGGAGAGAGGCUUAGAGUUGCCAUUGUCAUUGAUGCUUAAGAGCACUGAUGAAGAGUUCGAGCAAUUGCUCACACAGCCAUCUUCAGUAGCAAACGUAUAAUACUUUGAAUUGUUGUAUAUGUUACUGAUUGUGUUGUUCAUAACUUGUAUUUAACAUUGCUGCUUUAAUAUAAAAAAAAAUCUGAAAUUGAAAAUUCACAAUACUCUAUUGAUGAUGAGUAAAGUAAAGCUUGUAUGUAGCCUAUCUAUCUGUUUUCAUGUAAAAAUCUUCUGUAAACAAGAUUGGGCUUAGAGUGGGCCUCAUGAGAAGGAGAGAAGCCCUAAAAAGGCGUUCAGGGUAACUUGACUUUUUACCUUGGCAAAGUGAAAAAAGCAUUAAUGCCCUUUAUGUUUUACAGAUUUCAUUUAUUGCAAUCUAGUUAUAUAUAAAAUUGCAACUAUAUAUAUCUCUGUACCUUUGAUAGAUUUGUUACAUAAUUUUUUUUUUUUUUGACAUCAAAUAGUUUUCUGAUGAAAAAGACGUGACAUGCAUCUGGUAAACAUUAAUGCCUUUUAUGUUUUACAGAUUUUUUUUUUUCGUAAAAAAUGUUUUACAGAUUUCAUUUAUAGCAGUAUGAUUAUAUAUAAAAUUGUAACUAUAUAUAUAUAUAUGUACCUUUGAUUUUUAUCAUAAAACUCUUCUUAAAUAAUAUGAAAUUAAGUUAUUCGAGAAUGAUAUUAACCUUCUUAGGUUAUAUUUUUUGUUUCAGCAAAAUGACGUACAUAAACAAUCGUUUUGUGGAUGCAAAAUCAUUGCAAAGUUUCAACCAUUUUGAUAUUGAAAAACAAUUUAAAAUCAUCAACAAACCUGAUGUUAAAAUGGUCAAGGUUUGUUUAAUUUAAUAUUUCAACUUUAUAAAGAAAACCUAUUAUUUUUUCAUUUUGUUUUCUAUGUAUGUACGGAUAAAUACUAUUACACUAUGACUCAUAAAUUUUACAAAUUAUGUUCUUUUUAAUGGAUGAUAGACAGUACACGGAGAUACAUAUGGUUGUGUGGACUUUUACAAACAACCGUCCUUUGACAAUAUGUUGAUGAAAAACAAGGUAUUCCAUUAUAAUGUUUCUAUUCUAUUUAUUUUAUGUGAAUUGGAUGAUUAUUCUUACCACUAAUACAAAAUAAAUUCUUAAAAAAAGAUGUUUCAGACAUUGUCUCAACAAUCAAAAGUAACUAAUGACACUUUCGGAGUUUUAUGGGAAAAUGGUAUUGGGUGUCCUGUUGGUACCGUUCCCAUAAGAAGAGUUACCAAAAAAGAACUUUUGAGAUUAAAUUUGUUCUCCACAAAAUAUAAACCUCAAGGUUCAUGGAAUUUUCAUUAUAAUCUUGAUAAUGGUCAACAACAUCAUGUAAGUAAUAUAUUAUUAGUUAUAAUUUAAUUUUAUUAAAGAUAUGUUGAUUAUUAAUGAUUGUGAUUCAGUUUGCGGUUUCCCGUACCAAAGGAGGAAAAAACAAAAACUACAAUGGAGCAACCAUGAAAAUUUCUCUAAAUGAUCCUAAAGUUAAACUUCCACAAUUUAGUUCUGCUCGAAUUCAUCUUCAGAUUGGAGAUGAUUUUAUACAAGCUGGCUGGAUUGUAAGUUAUUAUCAUGCCUUAUAUAAUAUCAUAAUAAUAACCCUGCUAAGUAUUAUUUUAAUAAUUAUAUGGUUUUGAACUGAACACAUAUUAUAGGUCAAUCCAAAAUUAUAUGGUGACAACAAAACUCGGUGUUUUGUGUAUACAAAAGUAAGCUUAUGGCUAUUAUAUAUGUAUACCCAUCAUAAUUUUUUAAAGUUUUUUUCUAAUACAUUUAUAUAUUAGGCAUAACGUUAUAUAAAUUGAUACAGACAAGUAAAAACCAAUGUUAUAACAGCAUGUGUCAAGCUGGGAUCAUAUCUGUCCGAUCUGAUUUACCUCUUGGUUCUGUUCUAGAACCUGUCUGUGUUCGGGGUUUUAAUCCCAGUGUUUCAGCUGCAGUUAGCUUAUACAAGGUUUGUAAGUUAUUGAUUUCAUAAUUUUCUAAUUUAUUAGAUUAUCAUACUUACCCUAUAUUAUAUAUUUUCAACUAGCUUAUGCUUAAGCGGUUGACUCUAUAAACUUUAUUUGAAAUAGAUAAAAUAAUAUAACAUAUAUUAAACAACAUAAUUGUAUGUGUUUAACAAAUAUCCAAGCAUAACACAAGAAAUUCAAUAUUAUAUAUAUUUUUGGAAAUCACCUAGACUAUAUAAAAGGAUUUUUUUAAUCUAAUUAUAUAGUAAUUAAAAUUCUUUUUCUUAUGUGAUUGUUAAAUCUAAUUAUAUAGUAAUUAAAAUUCUUUUUCUUAUGUGAUUGUUUAUCAAAGGAUAAGGUAAAUGGUAAUUGGUGGCUUGAUUUUGGAGACAAAACACUUGGGUUUUGGCCAGCAAGUAGAUUUAAACAAAACUAUGCAAACAAUAUUGAGUGGGGAGGAGAAGCAUAUAGUGCAUUUAUGCCGAGUCCUCAGAUGGGAAACGGUUAUUUUCCGAUUCAACAUCCACUUUACGAUGCCAUUAUUUAUAAUAUGACUACGACAAAUGAGAAAUUUGAGAUUAAUGAAUGGGUAAAUAAUACUGAGGCAUUUUCAGAUAAUACUCGUGGUUAUAAAGUUAUUGAUGAUAUAUAUUCCGAAUAUCCAUUCAGACAUAUUAUAUAUUUUGGGGGUCCAGGAAAUAUUUAAAAGAGAAUGUAAAAAUUAGUAACAAAAUUUAUUCUAAAUAAUUUGUAAUUAAUCUUUUAAAUAAAUUGGUCAAAAAUCUUUUGUUUUAUAAAGGAUAAAGCCAAGACACAUAGAAUCAAUGGAGAGAGUUUUAGAGUUGCCAUUGUCAUUGAUGCGUAAGAGCACUGAUGAAGAGUUCGAGCAAUUGCUCACACAGCCCUCUUCAGUGGCAAACGUAUAAUACUUUGUAUUGUUGUAUAUGUUACUGUUUGUGUUGUUCAAAACUUGUAUUUAACAUUGC
rnacentral:lncRNA from 1 species